CGGCGCUGCUGGUGUUGGUGGGCUUGCUGGCGCUCAAGGCGUUCGUGGUCUGGGCUGUGGCAAGACGCAUGGGUUCCACGCCCGGUAACGCCGU
rnacentral:tRNA from 1 species